AGAUGCUAUAAAAGGAGCAGUCCCAGUCCAGAUAGAGAACACAUUCUGAAGACAUUGUAUCCUUGCAUCUAGCUGAAUACCUGCAAAAAAUGGCUUCCUUCAAGUUAUCAGUGAUUGCCUUAUUGGCCAUUGGGCUUUACCUGGACACGGUCUGUGCUGCUUCUAUAACCUUGGAAGAAGAAGCUGAGAUAAUAGUGAACAGUACAAUAACUGACCUUACAGAAUCAACUUCUGCGAUUCUAAGCAGUGACGCUGCGGUCGAUUUGGAACAAUUGAUUGAGGAAAUUAACAACACUGCAGCGAUGAAAGAGCUUGAUGCACAAAUUGUUGAACUUCUAAACAGUGACGCUGUGGUUGAAUUGGAACAAAAGGAUGCGGAAUUUCUAAACAGUUCAGUGGUGACUGACGUUUAUGAUGCAGUUGCCAAACUUGUAAACAGUACAGCUAUGGCUGAACUAGGAGAAGCACUCCAGGCAGUUCUGGAAAGUCCAGAUAUGGAAAAGAUUUCUACAGCAUUGGAGAAUAUUCUGGAAUCGGACGAUUUUGCUUCUCUACGUGUUGCAUUGAAAGUGGCUUCUGACCAGGAGGAGAGUGCAUUUGUCACCGAAGAAGACGCUGAAUUAUCUCCUUCUCUUAAGGGAUUUGCACAGUGCUUGGAAUCUUCUGCUCAGUAGUGGCUUUUGGUCCACUUCCUACAGAGGUGCACUCUCCUUGCUACCUCGGAACGCAUCUUUCAAGCAUCUCCACGGUGAACAGGAACCAAAUGCUGUGAUGUUCUUUUUCUCUUCUCAAGAUAACUGAAAAGUGAUCAACCUUAAAAUAAAAACUUUCUUGCAUUCAAUUGUUGUGUAUUUCGUGGAAUUAUUUUGUGAAACUUUAUUG
rnacentral:lncRNA from 1 species